rnacentral:rRNA from 1 species
UUUUUUNNUUUUUUGGUGGGGACGNGGCGGUGCUUNNNNCCCNCAANAGGACCCUGUUCNAUAACCGAAAAACCCCGAUAAACCCCACCAUCUCUUGCUAAUUCACCCUAUAUACCGCCAUCUUCACCAAACCCUAAAAAGGAAAAAAAGUAAGCACAAGUGUCUUAACACAAAAAAGUUAGGUCAGGGUGUAGCCUAUGAGAGGGGAAGCAAGGGGCUACAUUUUCUACAAUUAAAACACCCACGAAAAUCCUUAAGAAACUAAGCAUUCAGGGAGGAUUUAGCAGUAAAUUUGAAAAUAGAGAGCUCAAUUGAAUCGGGCCAUGAAGCACGCACACCCCGCCCGUCACCCUCCUCAAGUGACUAGUCCCUAAAGAAACCUAUUCAAACCACUACAUCCACAAGAGGAAACAAGUCGUAACAAGGUAAGCAUACUGGAAAGUGGGCUUGGAUGACAAGAUGUAUCUUAAACUAAAGCGUCGGGCUUACACCCAAAAGAUUUCAUAUUAAACUGACCGUCUUGAGCCAAAGCUAGCCCAAUCAUCUACAAACGCAACUAACACUANAAAGUAAAAUAAAACAUUUANUUACCCCAUAAAAGUAUAGGAGAUAGAAAUUUAACUUGGCGCCAUAAAGAAAGUACCGCAAGGGAAGGAUGAAAGAAAAAACUAAAAGCACUAUAUAGCAAAGAUUGCCCCUUGUACCUUUUGCAUAAUGAGUUAGCUAGUAACAGCCUAACAAAGAGAACUUCAGCUAGGCCCCCCGAAACCAGACGAGCUACCCAUGAACAAUCUAUUACAGGAUGAACUCAUCUAUGUUGCAAAAUAGUGAGAAGAUUUAUGGGUAGAGGUGAAAAGCCUAACGAGCCUGGUGAUAGCUGGUUGCCCAGAACAGAAUCUUAGUUCAACUUUAAACUUACCUCAAAACCCUAAAAUUCCAAUGUAAGUUUAAAUUAUAGUCUAAAAAGGUACAGCUUUUUAGAACUAGGAUACAGCCUUAAUUAGAGAGUAAGCACAAACACAAACCAUAGUUGGCCUAAAAGCAGCCACCAAUUAAGAAAGCGUUCAAGCUCGACAAUCAAAACAUCUCAAUGUCAAAAAACGUAACCAACUCCUAACCUAAAACUGGGCUAAUCUAUUUAAUAAUAGAAGCAAUAAUGCUAAUAUGAGUAACAAGAAGCAUUUCUCCCGUGCAUAAGCUUAUAUCANAACGGAUAACCACUGAUAGUUAACAACAAGAUAGAUACAACCUANCUACAAGCAAAAUAUCAAACUAAUUGUUAACCCAACACAGGCAUGCAAUCCAGGGAAAGANUAAAAGAAGUAAAAGGAACUCGGCAAACACAAGCCCCGCCUGUUUACCAAAAACAUCACCNCUAGCAUUUCCAGUAUUAGAGGCACUGCCUGCCCAGUGANCAUUANUUAAANGGCNGCGGUAUCCUGACCGNGCAAAGGUAGCAUAAUCAUUUGNNCCNNAAUNGGGACNUGUAUGAUNNNANNCNAGGGCUUANNG